rnacentral:pre_miRNA from 1 species
AAUGUACUCCCUCCGUCCGGAAAUACUUGUCAUCAAAAUGGAUGAAAAUGGAUGUAUCUACAACUAAAAUACAUCUAUAUACAUCCAUUUCAAUGACAAGUAUUUCCGGACGGAGGGAGUAUGAG